rnacentral:ncRNA from 2 species
AACGUGUUCCGGGGUCGGUGUAAGUCCGAACCGGCGGUGACAGUCCGCGACCUCUUCUGGUUCUCCAGAAGGGCUGACUCGGUGAAAUUCCGAGACCGACAGUUAAAGUCUGGAUGGGAGGAACUCGUC